rnacentral:tRNA from 1 species
AAAGGGAGACCUAAUUCAGGUAGGAGACGAAAAAAAAGUAGUCGCUACCAAGAAUCAAUCCCAAAAGGUCGGAGCGAGGCGAAAUUGGCUUUCAAACUAGGUUCUGGGUUCAAACAAGACCUGAAUCAGGAACAAGGGCUAUUAGCUCAGGUGGUUAGAGCGCACCCCUGAUAAGGGUGAGGUCCCUGGUUCGAGUCCAGGAUGGCCCACCUGUACAGGUGGCAAAAGCAAGAGAAGCGAGGAAUCAGCACCUUAUCUUACUGACAUAGUAAGAGAGAAUGCUGGCUCUGAGUAAAGAGUCCAGAGGAACCUUGAAAACUGCAUAGAGCUAGGUGAAAAAGCCAAAAAAGAAGACCGCAAG